rnacentral:rRNA from 1 species
GAUGAACGCUAGCGGCAGGCCUAACACAUGCAAGUCGAGGGGUAGCAGGAUUAAGCUUGCUUAAUUGCUGACGACCGGCGCACGGGUGCGUAACGCGUAUGCAACCUACCUUAUACUGGGGUAUAGCCCGGAGAAAUUCGGAUUAAUCCCCCAUAGUACUAAUGAAUCGCAUGGUUUAUUAGUUAAAGCAUUGCGGUAUAAGAUGGGCAUGCGUCCUAUUAGCUAGAUGGUGAGGUAACGGCUCACCAUGGCUACGAUAGGUAGGGGGCCUGAGAUGGUGGUCCCCCACACUGGUACUGAGACACGGAACAAACUCCUACGGGAGGCAGCAGUGAGGAAUAUUGGUCAAUGGGCGCAAGCCUGAACCAGCCAUGCCGCGUGCAGGAAGAAUGCCCUAUGGGUUGUAAACUGCUUUUAUUUGGUAAUAAACCUCUUUACGUGUAGAGAGCUGAAGGUACCAAAUGAAUAAGCACCGGCUAACUCCGUGCCAGCCGCCGCUGUAA